rnacentral:rRNA from 1 species
CUGAACCAGCCAAGUAGCGUGAAGGAUGACUGCCCUAUGGGUUGUAAACUUCUUUUAUAAAGGAAUAAAGUCGGGUAUGCAUACCCGUUUGCAUGUACAUUAUGAAUAAGGAUCGGCUAACUCCGUGCCAGCAGCCGCGGUAAUACGGAGGAUCCGAGCGUUAUCCGGAUUUAUUGGGUUUAAAGGGAGCGUAGAUGGAUGUUUAAGUCAGUUGUGAAAGUUUGCGG